UAGGGAAUCUUCGGCAAUGGGGGCAACCCUGACCGAGCAACGCCGCGUGAGUGAAGAAGGUUUUCGGAUCGUAAAGCUCUGUUGUAAGAGAAGAACGUGUGUGAGAGUGGAAAGUUCACACAGUGACGGUAACUUACCAGAAAGGGACGGCUAACUACGUGCCAGCAGCCGCGGUAAUACGUAGGUCCCGAGCGUUGUCCGGAUUUAUUGGGCGUAAAGCGAGCGCAGGCGGUUUAAUAAGUCUGAAGUUAAAGGCAGGGGCUUAACCAUUGUUCGCUUUGGAAACUGUUAAACUUGAGUGCAGAAGGGGAGAGUGGAAUUCCAUGUGUAACGGUGAAAUGCGUAGAUAUAUGGAGGAACACCGGUGGCGAAAGCGGGUCUCUGGUCUGUAACUGACGCUGAGGCUCGAAAGCGUGGGGAGCAAACAGG
rnacentral:rRNA from 1 species